rnacentral:rRNA from 50 species
AUAAUGACUCUCGGCAACGGAUAUCUAGGCUCUUGCAUCGAUGAAGAACGUAGCGAAAUGCGAUACUUGGUGUGAAUUGCAGAAUCCCGUGAACCAUCGAGUCUUUGAACGCAAGUUGCGCCCGAAGCCAUUAGGUUGAGGGCACGUCUGCCUGGGCGUCACAU